rnacentral:rRNA from 1 species
CGAUCGGUAGCCGGACUGAGAGGUUGAACGGCCACAUUGGGACUGAGACACGGCCCAGACUCCUACGGGAGGCAGCAGUGGGGAAUAUUGCACAAUGGGGGAAACCCUGAUGCAGCGACGCCGCGUGGAGGAAGAAGGUCUUCGGAUUGUAAACUCCUGUUGUUGAGGAAGAUAAUGACGGUACUCAACAAGGAAGUGACGGCUAACUACGUGCCAGCAGCCGCGGUAAAACGUAGGUCACAAGCGUUGUCCGGAAUUACUGGGUGUAAAGGGAGCGCAGGCGGGCGAUCAAGUUGGAAGUGAAAUCCAUGGGCUCAACCCAUGAACUGCUUUCAAAACUGAUUGUCUUGAGUAGUGCAGAGGUAGGCGGAAUUCCCGGUGUAGCGGUGGAAUGCGUAGAUAUCGGGAGGAACACCAGUGGCGAAGGCGGCCUACUGGGCACCAACUGACGCUGAGGCUCGAAAGUGUGGGUAGCAAACAGGAUUAGAUACCCUGGUAGUCCACACCGUAAACGAUGAUUACUAGGUGUUGGAGGAUUGACCCCUUCAGUGCCGCAGUUAACACAAUAAGUAAUCCACCUGGGGAGUACGACCGCAAGGUUGAAACUCAAAGGAAUUGACGGGGGCCCGCACAAGCAGUGGAGUAUGUGGUUUAAUUCGACGCAACGCGAAGAACCUUACCAAGUCUUGACAUCCUGCGACGAUGCUAGAAAUAGUAUUUUCCUUCGGGACGCAGAGACAGGUGGUGCAUGGUUGUCGUCAGCUCGUGUCGUGAGAUGUUGGGUUAAGUCCCGCAACGAGCGCAACCCUUAUGGUCAGUUACUACGCAAGAGGACUCUGGCCAGACUGCCGUUGACAAAACGGAGGAAGGUGGGGAUGACGUCAAAUCAUCAUGCCCUUUAUGACUUGGGCUACACACGUACUACAAUGGCGUUAAACAAAGAGAAGCAAGACCGCGAGGUGGAGCAAAACUCAGAAACAACGUCCCAGUUCGGACUGCAGGCUGCAACUCGCCUGCACGAAGUCGGAAUUGCUAGUAAUCGUGGAUCAGCAUGCCACGGUGAAUACGUUCCCGGGCCUUGUACACACCGCCCGUCACACCAUGAGAGCCGGGGGGACCCGAAGUCGGUAGUCUAACCGCAAGGAGGACGCCGCCGAAGGUAAAACUGGUGAUUGGGGUGAAGUCGUAACAAGGUAGCCGUAGGAGAACCUGCGGCUG